ACUGCGACGUCACUUCCUCCCUUUCUUGAGAGACCUUCGGAUUUCAGUGGUUGAAUUUUACUUGCUCUUUCAGCAACACAGAGAAAUCAACAUGAUCAGGCCAAUCAGUGUUUUUGUCAUAAUACUGUACAGCCUCACAGGACUCUCAUUCGGUAACAGCGUGCAGCAGUCUCCCUCCACCCUGCUGAGAGACCCUGGAGAGUCUGUGCAACUCAACUGCAGCCACAACAUACGGAGCUAUGACACAAUACUGUGGUACCAGCAACCCCAGCAGGGAAAUGGGAUGAAGCUCAUUGGACGUGUUUAUCUUAAGAACGUAGAGAUGGAGGGUGAAAAAAGAUUCAACGUGAGUGGAGAUGGUAAACGGCAGGCGUUCCUUCACAUCGACAGGCUGGCAUUAACAGACAGUGCCGUGUAUCUGUGCGCUGCGUGGUAUCACAGUGAUACAGGUCUUCUCUUACCCCUACAAAAACCACUUCCCCAUCCGCACUCUUCUCAGAACCAUUCAUCAUAACUGUACGUUUUGAAUGUACUUUUUGAGCAACGAACGUGCUGUUUUCCUUCUUUCUUGUGAAUUCUCUCAUUUUUCAUUUAUGUUUUUGUCACUAUUUUUCAUGAUGAUUUUAUGAUGUCACUUCCUGCCCUCCCCCUUCCCAGAGAGUGCACUGAAGGCCACACUGCUCUGCUUUUACUAUAUUCUCUCAGCAGCACUGAGUCAACAUGAUCAGACUUCUCCUUAUUAUCACGGUCUCAUUUCUCUCAGCGAGAGGUGUGCAGAGUAAAGUCAUUAUGGCCCCCAGAAUUCUCUGGGGUAAUUUGGGGGACCCGGCCCAGAUGAACUGCAGCCACACUUUGGGAGCAGCUUACGAUCAGAUGUACUGGUACAAACAGAACCCACUUGAGGGUAUUCAGCUAAUAGUUUUUACUUCUUAUGCAAGCCCUGAAUUUGGUGAUGUUAGCAAAGAAAGGUAUUUGGCAGAGAAAGCUGUGGCUGAAAGAGGCUCUCUCAAGGUGAAGAAGCUGGAGGCAGAAGACAGCGGCACAUAUUUCUGUGCAGUCAGUGAACACGG